rnacentral:rRNA from 1 species
GACGAACGCUGGCGGCGUGCUUAACACAUGCAAGUCGAACGAAGAGCGAUGGAAGCUUGCUUCUAUCAAUCUUAGUGGCGAACGGGUGAGUAACGCGUAAUCAACCUGCCCUUCAGAGGGGGACAACAGUUGGAAACGACUGCUAAUACCGCAUACGAUUUAACCUCGGCAUCGAGGAAAGAUGAAAGGUGGCCUCUAUUUAUAAGCUAUCACUGAAGGAGGGGAUUGCGUCUGAUUAGCUAGUUGGAGGGGUAACGGCCCACCAAGGCGAUGAUCAGUAGCCGGUCUGAGAGGAUGAACGGCCACAUUGGGACUGAGACACGGCCCAGACUCCUACGGGAGGCAGCAGUGGGGAAUCUUCCGCAAUGGACGAAAGUCUGACGGAGCAACGCCGCGUGAGUGAUGACGGCCUUCGGGUUGUAAAGCUCUGUUAAUCGGGACGAAAGGCCUUCUUGCGAACAGUUAGAAGG